AUGGAAUGAAGUUGAAAGGAUUUAUGAAUAAAAUUGUUGGCCAUGUAAACCAUUUCACGUCACAACUCAGUGAAGACCUGACUUCUACAACAGUUCAACACGAUUUGAAAGAGGUCUCUGAGGACAAAGGCUAAAAGCAUAUCCUGUGAGCUUUAGCACAAUAUGUACCUGUAGGCACCUCUCAUCCUUCAUAGGUCACAUUUAAAUGAAGCUUCCACAUGGGAUCAAGCUUGACAAAGAAGAACAUUUAUACUUUAAGAAAAAGAGUCGGCCUGCUUUUUGUAUCAGUUCCUCUGUUGGUUUUUCAAGAUGCAGGUGAAGUAAAGGCACUUUGUCAGGUCUAGUUUGUCCCUGAGUUCAGCUUACAUUC